GACGAACGCUGGCGGCGUGCUUAACACAUGCCAGUCGAACGAAGAGCGAUGGAAGCUUGCUUCUAUCAAUCUUAGUGGCGAACGGGUGAGUAACGCGUAAUCAACCUGCCCUUCAGAGGGGGACAACAGUUGGAAACGACUGCUAAUACCGCAUACGAUCUAAUCUCGGCAUCGAGGAUAGAUGAAAGGUGGCCUCUACAUGUAAGCUACCACUGAAGGAGGGGAUUGCGUCUGAUUAGCUAGUUGGAGGGGUAACGGCCCACCAAGGCGAUGAUCAGUAGCCGGUCUGAGAGGAUGAACGGCCACAUUGGGACUGAGACACGGCCCAGACUCCUACGGGAGGCAGCAGUGGGGAAUCUUCCGCAAUGGACGAAAGUCUGACGGAGCAACGCCGCGUGAGUGAUGACGGCCUUCGGGUUGUAAAGCUCUGUUAAUCGGGACGAAAGGCCUUCUUGCGAAUAGUGAGAAGGAUUGACGGUACCGGAAUAGAAAGCCACGGCUAACUACGUG
rnacentral:rRNA from 1 species